rnacentral:rRNA from 1 species
UACAGAGGGGGCAAGCGUUGUUCGGAAUUACUGGGCGUAAAGGGCGCGUAGGCGGCCUUCUAAGUCGAACGUGAAAUCCCCGGGCUCAACCCGGGAACUGCGUCCGAUACUGGAAGGCUUGAAUCCGGGAGAGGGAUGCGGAAUUCCAGGUGUAGCGGUGAAAUGCGUUGAUAUCCACAGGAACUCCGGUGGCGAAGGCGGCACGCUGGACCCCCACUGACGCUGAGGCGCGAAAGCCAGGGGAGCGAACGGG